GCCUGGGUGGCUCAGUCGGUUGAGCAUCUGACUUCGGCUCAGGUCAUGAUCUCUUGGUUUGUGAGUUCGAGCCCUGCAUCAGGCU
rnacentral:tRNA from 1 species